rnacentral:rRNA from 1 species
CCUACGGGAGGCAGCAGUAGGGAAUUUUGGGCCAAGGGCGAAAGCCUGACGCAGCCACGCCGCGUGAGUGAUGAAGGCCUUCGGGUCGUAAAGCUCUUUCAGCAGGGACGAAAAUGACGGUACCUGCAGAAGAAGCCCCGGCCAACUACGUGCCAGCAGCCGCGGUAACACGUAGGGGGCAAGCGUUGUCCGGAUUUAUUGGGCGUAAAGGGCUCGUAGGCUGUUCAGUAAGUCAGGUGUGAAAACUCGAGGCUCAACCUCGAGACGCCACUUGAUACUGCUGUGACUUGAGUUCGGUAGAGGAGUGUGGAAUUCCUAGUGUAGCGGUGAAAUGCGCAGAUAUUAGGAGGAACACCAACGGCGAAGGCAGCACUCUGGGCCGAUACUGACGCUGAGGAGCGAAAGCGUGGGGAGCGAACAGGAUUAGAUACCCUGGUAG